rnacentral:misc_RNA from 1 species
CCAAACUUGGUCAUUUAGAGGAAGUAAAAGUCGUAACAAGGUUUCCGUAGGUGAACCUGCGGAAGGAUCAUUACAAAUGUGUCUCUCUGUUGACGUUGAAAUGUGCGGGGCGGCGCGCACGCGGUCAUGCUGUGGCCGCCGCCAGUUAUUUCACGAUAUUCUUUCAUUGUCGAUCACACAUAAUAUUAUAUUUUUAAAUACACCGACUUUUAACAAUGGAUCUCUUGGCUCUUGCAUCGAUGAAGAACGCAGC